GCUUACGGCCAUACACCACCCUGAAUGCGCCCGAUCUCGUCUGAUCUCGGAAGCUAAGCAGGGUUAGGCCUGGUUAGUACUUGGUGGGAGACGCCUGGAAAUACAGGUUGCUGUAAGCU
rnacentral:rRNA from 1 species